CAAAUUCUCUGGCUGGGAGACACCAUGCUCAUAUAAAAUUGGUUUUCCCUGGGAGAGGGUCAUCCAUUGCAUUCCAGGUGUGUUGACUCCUUCAAUUUUCCCAAGUGCGGAAAACUCAGUUGCAUAAUUUGUGGUAUUAUUUGUGAAUGCACACUC